UCACAUGGCAUCUCCACGGCAGUCCUUUUGAAACUCAAUGCCAUCCAGAUUGAUGCGGCCCAUCUCCAUGGGAUUUAAUGCCUUCUCUCACAAAUACUGGGAUCGCACCUUAUUUCUAUUUAGGUGUUUGGAUUUUUUCUUUUAAAAAGGCAAACAAAGGGCCUUGUAAUCACCGAUGGUUUUGUGAAAUAAAAUUCUAUUUUUCUUCUCUACGAGCUCUCUUCCUCCUCCUAUUCUCCAUCUCUUAUUUUCUUUCUUCUUUCCCUCUCUUCCUUCCCUUCCUACCUUCCUUCUUCCUCUCUCCCACCUCUCUUCUGAAAUCCCUCGUAAGGCUUGAAGGUUGAAGGAUGAAGAAUCCUCAGCAAUCCACCCAUCUGUAGUUCUUCACAUGCUCGGAUUGGAUUCCUAUGAUCUUGGACAACGGAAGGAUUUGGAAGCAACCGUGGCCUGAUCUGACAUCUGAUUCCUCCCUCAUCCAAAAAUCUUCAUCGAUGUGUUUGCAGUUCUUCGCAUGCUCAGAUUGGAUCCCCAUGAUCUUAGACAAUGGAAGGAUUCGCAAGCAACUGUGGCCUGAUCUGAUAUCCAAUUCUUUCCUCAUCCAAAAAUCUUCAUCGACGUGUUUAUUCCAAGACUAGUUGUGAGUCCAGACCUGGGAGCAUGUUGGGGUUUGUAUAUAGAAAGUGAGGCCGGUCUGCAAAAGAUGGUUAGCUCUUGGGGUAGUACUAGUAUAUUGAUGGUUGUACUGAUCUGAUGUAAAUUCUGUAAACUUGAAGUUUUAAACUGAUGUGUGAAAUAAAAGGUUAGUUGUUCUAUUA